rnacentral:rRNA from 1 species
GACGAACGCUGGCGGCGUGCUUAACACAUGCAAGUCGAACGGAAAGGCCCUGCUUUUGUGGGGUGCUCGAGUGGCGAACGGGUGAGUAACACGUGAGUAACCUGCCCUUGACUUUGGGAUAACUUCAGGAAACUGGGGCUAAUACCGGAUAGGAGCUCCUGCUGCAUGGUGGGGGUUGGAAAGUUUCGGCGGUUGGGGAUGGACUCGCGGCUUAUCAGCUUGUUGGUGGGGUAGUGGCUUACCAAGGCUUUGACGGGUAGCCGGCCUGAGAGGGUGACCGGCCACAGGCGUACUGAGAUACGCACGACGGUCCGGAGGGGGGCAGCGGGGGGGAAGAGCGCACGGCGGGGGCAACGCGGAGGGAGCGGCGCGGCGUGGGGGAGGCAGGGGGGGGCGGUGAACCCCGCUGUCGCCUGGGACGAGGGGUGAGCGACGGUAGUGAACACAGAAGCACCGGGUAAAGACGUGCCAGCGGCGGCAGUAAUGAACGGAAGACCACACGACUGAGC